rnacentral:rRNA from 1 species
CAGUAGCCGCGGGAAUACGAGGGGGGCAAGCGUUGUUCGGAUUUAUUGGGCGUAAAGGGUGCGUAGGCGGUUUGGCAAGUCUUGUGUGAAAUCUUCGGGCUCAACCCGAAGCCUGCACGAGAAACUACCGGGCUUGAGUAUUGGAGAGGUGAGUGGAAUUUCCGGUGUAGCGGUGAAAUGCGUAGAUAUUCGGAGGAACACCAGUGGCGAAGGCGGCUCACUGGUCCAUUACUGACGCUGAGGUGCAAAAGCGUGGGGAGCAAACAGGAUUAGAUACCCCAGUAGUCCCUGUCUCUUAUAC